GGGCUCGUGGUCUAGCGGCUACGCAAGAGCUUAAGGCAAUUGCGCUGCAGAUGAUAGCGCCCUUACAAGGCGCGGGUCCCCGGUUCGAAUCCGGGCGGGCCCA
rnacentral:tRNA from 1 species